rnacentral:lncRNA from 1 species
CAAUUUAUGCUGCCCAUAAACAGGCAAAAGCUUGCCUCAUUUCAAGACUAAGCUGUGAGCGAGCUGGGACAAGGUUCAACGUCCGGGGAACAAAUGAUGACGGUCAUGUUGCCAACUUUGUAGAGACAGAGCAGGUUAUAUACUUAGAUGACUGUGUCUCCUCCUUCAUACAAAUCCGAGGAUCUGUUCCGUUGUUCUGGGAGCAACCAGGGUUGCAAGUGGGAUCUCAUCGUGUUCGAAUGUCAAGGGGAUUUGAAGCCAAUGCGCCUGCCUUUGACAGGCAUUUCCGAACCCUUAAGGACUUAUAUGGUAAACAAAUAGUAGUAAAUCUGCUUGGAUCUAAGGAGGGUGAGCAUAUGCUGAGCAAGGCCUUCCAGAGUCACUUGAAAGCCUCUGAACACGCUUCUGAUAUCCACAUGG